AUUGAACGCUGGCGGCAUGCUUUACACAUGCAAGUCGAACGGCAGCGCGGGCUUCUGCCUGGCGGCGAGUGGCGAACGGGUGAGUAAUGCAUCGGAACGUGCCCAGUAGUGGGGGAUAGCCCGUCGAAAGCCGGAUUAAUACCGCAUACGACCUGAGGGUGAAAGCGGGGGACCGAAAGGCCUCGCGCUAUUGGAGCGGCCGAUGUCGGAUUAGCUAGUUGGUGGGGUAAAGGCUUACCAAGGCGACGAUCCGUAGCUGGUCUGAGAGGACGACCAGCCACACUGGGACUGAGACACGGCCCAGACUCCUACGGGAGGCAGCAGUGGGGAAUUUUGGACAAUGGGGGCAACCCUGAUCCAGCCAUGCCGCGUGCGGGAAGAAGGCCUUCGGGUUGUAAACCGCUUUUGUUCGGGAAGAAAUCCUCUGGGCUAAUACCCCGGGGGGAUGACGGUACCGGAAGAAUAAGCACCGGCUAACUACGUG
rnacentral:rRNA from 1 species